AAUGAACGUUGGCGGCGUGGAUUAGGCAUGCAAGUCGUGCGGAAAGGCUCCUUCGGGAGUACUCGAGCGGCGAAAGGGAGAGUAACGCGUGGAUAUCUACCUCGGAUUUGGGAUAGCGGCGGGAAACUGCCGGUAAUACCAAAUAAUGUCUCCGGACCAAAGGUGUAAUUCCGUCCGAGGAUGAGUCCGCGUCCUAUUAGCUGGUUGGUGGGGUAAUGGCCUACCAAGGCUGUGAUGGUACCGGGUGUGAGAGCAUGGCCCGGCUCACUGGGACUGAGACACUGCCCAGACACCUACGGGUGGCUGCAGUCGAGAAUCUUCGGCAAUGGGCGCAAGCCUGACCGAGCGACGCCGCGUGCGGGAUGGAGGCCUUCGGGUUGUAAACCGCUGUCAGAGGGAAGGAAAUGUAUGAGGGUUCUCUCUCAUAUUUGACCGAUCCUCAGAGGAAGUACGGGCUAAGUUCGUG
rnacentral:rRNA from 1 species